rnacentral:rRNA from 1 species
CAUGUCCUUUAGAAUUUAAUUUAAGGUCUAACCUGCCCACUGAGUUAUUAAAUGGCCGCAGUAUUUUAACUGUGCAAAGGUAGCAUAAUCAUUAGUCUUUUAAUUGAAGGCUUGUAUGAAUGGUUGGACAAAAUAUAUAUUGUUUCAUUUAAAUUUAUAGAAUUUUAUUUUUUAGUUAAAAAGCUGAAAUUUAAUUAAAAGACGAGAAGACCCUAUAGAUCUUUAUAAUUAUUAAAUUUAAUUUGUGAAGAAUAUUUUAUUUUUUAUUUAUAUAAUUAUUUUAUUGGGGUGAUAGUAAGAUUUAUUUAACUCUUGUAUAGUUUAAUACAUAAAUUAAUGAUUAAUUGAUCCAGUAUUAUUGAUUAGUAAAAUAAGUUACCUUAGGGAUAACAGCGUAAUUUUUUUAGAGAGUUCAUAUCGAUAAAAAAGAUUGCGACCUCGAUGUUGGAUUAAGAGAUAAGUUUGGGCGCAGCCGUUCAAAUUUAAAGUCUGUUCGACUUUUUAAUUCUUACAUGAUC